rnacentral:rRNA from 1 species
AGGACGAACGCUGGCGGCGUGCUUAACACAUGCAAGUCGAACGGUGAAGCCACUUCGGUGGUGGAUCAGUGGCGAACGGGUGAGUAACACGUGAGCAACCUGCCCUUGGCUCCGGGAUAACUUCGGGAAACCGGAGCUAAUACCGGAUACGACACGCGAAGGCAUCUUCUGCGUGUAGAAAGAUUUAUCGGCCAGGGAUGGGCUCGCGGCCUAUCAGCUAGUUGGUGAGGCAAUGGCCCACCAAGGCGACGACGGGUA